AGUAAUCCACCUGGGGAGUACGACCGCAAGGUUGAAACUCAAAGGAAUUGACGGGGGCCCGCACAAGCAGUGGAGUAUGUGGUUUAAUUCGACGCAACGCGAAGAACCUUACCAAGUCUUGACAUCCUGCGACAGACAUAGAAAUAUGUUUUUCCUUCGGGACGCAGAGACAGGUGGUGCAUGGUUGUCGUCAGCUCGUGUCGUGAGAUGUUGGGUUAAGUCCCGCAACGAGCGCAACCCUUAUGGUCAGUUACUACGCAAGAGGACUCUGGCCAGACUGCCGUUGACAAAAC
rnacentral:rRNA from 1 species